rnacentral:piRNA from 1 species
UGUUCGACACAGGACGCAGCUAGGCGGUU